UGAGAGGAUGAUGGAGAGAUUGUUCCCCUCAAAAAAAAAGACAAGCUCAGUUCCUUAGGUGCCUUCAAGACCUGAAGUCAUCGUCAUCGUCGUUGUCAUCUUUGUCUUCAUCUUCAUCAACAACAACAGAUGAAACCAGGAUGCUUUACGUGACUCAUUAAAAAACAAAUUCAAAAAGGAAAGGCGACCCCUUAUUGGUGACUCAAAGGUGCAACAAAUGCGUGCAAAAUUUGCUGUGGCAGGAUCUGGAAGGAAGCGUAGUUUUCCGGGUCAACCAAGCCAGCUUCUCCACAUCAACAGGCCCACUGCUCACGAGAAUGAAGAAUGUAGAGAGGAUGAAAGGAGCAUUGACGCUCAUAUCAAUGAAAUUUCUACAGAGAUGCUUAAGGUACACCCAGAUCUGAACUCUUUAAGGGAGAGAAUGAGACGAACCUACGCAUACCGAAAGACCUUCAUGGCAACUGCCAAGGCAGAGGAAA